GUAGGGAAUUUUCGGCAAUGGGGGAAACCCUGACCGAGCAAUGCCGCGUGAGUGAAGACGGCCUUCGGGUUGUAAAGCUCUGUUGUAAGGGAAGAACGGCAUAGAGAGGGAAUGCUCUAUGAGUGACGGUACCUUACCAGAAAGCCACGGCUAACUACGUGCCAGCAGCCGCGGUAAUACGUAGGUGGCAAGCGUUAUCCGGAAUUAUUGGGCGUAAAGGGUGCGUAGGCGGCGAGAUAAGUCUGAGGUAAAAGCCCGUGGCUCAACCACGGUAAGCCUUGGAAACUGUCUGGCUGGAGUGCAGGAGAGGACAAUGGAAUUCCAUGUGUAGCGGUAAAAUGCGUAGAUAUAUGGAGGAACACCAGUGGCGAAGGCGGUUGUCUGGCCUGUAACUGACGCUGAAGCACGAAAGCGUGGGGAGCAAAUAGGA
rnacentral:rRNA from 1 species